rnacentral:rRNA from 1 species
UGCGUAGGCGGAAUAUUAAGUCAGUGGUGAAAUCCUGCGGCUCAACCGUAGAACUGCCAUUGAUACUGAUAUUCUUGAAUGUAGUUGAGGUAGGCGGAAUGUGUAAUGUAGCGGUGAAAUGCUUAGAUAUUACACAGAACACCGAUUGCGAAGGCAGCUUACUAAACUAUGAUUGACGCUGAGGCACGAAAGCGUGGGGAGCGAACAGGAUUAGAUACCCUGGUAGUCCC